UACGUAGGGGGCAAGCGUUGUCCGGAAUCAUUGGGCGUAAAGAGCGUGUAGGCGGCCCGGUAAGUCCGCUGUGAAAGUCGAGGGCUCAACCCUCGAAUGCCGGCGGAUACUGUCGGGCUAGAGUCCGGAAGAGGCGAGUGGAAUUCCUGGUGUAGCGGUGAAAUGCGCAGAUAUCAGGAGGAACACCUACGGCGAAGGCAGCUCUCUGGGACGGUACUGACGCUGAGACGCGAAAGCGUGGGGAGCGAACAGG
rnacentral:rRNA from 1 species